rnacentral:rRNA from 1 species
CGGAGGCGACCGCUAUUGGAGUUCGAUUAAGACAUGCGAGUCUGAGCAUUAGCUCGGCGUACCGCUCAGUAACACGUGGGUAACCUGCCCUACUGUUCGGAAUAACCUCGGGAAACUGAGAACAAUGCCGAAUAGUCCACCACGCCUGGAACGGUGGGUGGAUGAAGGUAGGAUGGGCCUGCGGCGUAUCAGGUUGUAGGGGGUGUAAUGGACCUCCUAGCCAUCGACGCGUACGGGUGUUGGGAGACAUAGCCCGGAGAUGGAUUCUGAGACACGAAUCCAGGCCCUACGGGGCGCAGCAGUUACGAAAACUUGGCAAUGCGGGAAACCGUGACCAGGGAACUCCAAGUGAGUCUCUUUUAGGGGCUCUUUUCAUGACUCUAAAACGGUCUUGGAAUAAGGGGUGGGUAAGGACGGUGCCAGCCGCCGCGGUAAUACCGGCGCCUCAAGUGGUCGUCGCUUUUAUUGGGCCUAAAACGUCCGUAGCCGGUUUGGUACAUUCGUGGGUAAAUCAACUCGCUCAACGAGUUGAAUUCUGCGAGGACGGCCAGACUAGGGACCGGGAGAGGUGUGGGGAACUCUCAGGGUAGGGGUAAAAUCCUGUCAUCCUGAGAGGACCACCUGUUGCGAAGGCGCCACACUAGAACGGAUCCGACGGUCAGGGACGAAGCCUAGGGGCACGAACCGGAUUAGAUACCCGGGUAGUCCUAGGUGUAAACGCUGUGGACUUGGUGUUGGGGAAGACUAGAGCUUUCCCAGUGCCGUAGCGAAGGUGUUGAGUCCACUGCCUGGGGAGUACGGUCGCAAGGCUGAAACUUAAAGGAAUUGGCGGGG